ACACCCGAAGUCGGUGAGGCAACCUUUUAGGAGCCAGCCGCCGAAGGUGGGGCAGAUGAUUGGGGUGAAGUCGUAACAAGGUAUCCCUACCGGAAGGUGGGGAUGGAUCACCUCCUUU
rnacentral:rRNA from 1 species